rnacentral:tRNA from 1 species
ACGGCUAUUGCCAAGCGGUAAGGCGGGAGGCUUUGACCCUCUUAAAUAUCAAUAGAUUUCGCUGGUUCGAAUCCAGCUAGCCGUG